ensembl:misc_RNA 7SK 7SK RNA
GCAUGUGAAGGUGAUCUGGCUGCGACAUCUGUCACCCCAUUGAUCGCCAGGGUUGAUUCAGCUGAUCUGGCUGGCUAGGCGGGUGUCCCCUUUCUCCCUCACCACUCCAUGUGCAUCCCUCCCGAAGCUGCGUGUUCAGUCGACGGUCUUCCCCGAAUAGAGACGGACGACCGGUCUUCAGUCAAGGGUAUACGAGUAGCUCCGCUUCCCUGCUAGAACCUCCAAACAAGCUGUCAAGGGGAGAUAAAGUUACACUACUCAUUAAGAAAUUUAGUCAUGGGUGUCGGGCGGUUGUGCAGCGGGUUAAGCGUACAUU